AAUCCAUAGGUUAAUGAGGCGAACCGGGGGAACUGAAACAUCUAAGUACCCCGAGGAAAAGAAAUCAACCGAGAUUCCCCCAGUAGCGGCGAGCGAACGGGGAGGAGCCCAGAGCCUGAAUCAGCAUGUGUGUUAGUGGAAGCGUCUGGAAAGGCGCGCGAUACAGGGUGACAGCCCCGUACACAAAAGCGCAUGUGCUGUGAGCUCGAUGAGUAGGGCGGGACACGUGGUAUCCUGUCUGAAUAUGGGGGGACCAUCCUCCAAGGCUAAAUACUCCUGACUGACCGAUAGUGAACCAGUACCGUGAGGGAAAGGCGAAAAGAACCCCGGCGAGGGGAGUGAAAAAGAACCUGAAACCGUGUACGUACAAGCAGUGGGAGCCCCACCACUAAGCCAGUGGUGAACUCCACAUACGCAUCCUUUGCUGAGGAUACGGUUAACGGAGCGCAAGCGACGUUCAACCGCAAAAGAAGCAGAGGGGGCUUAGUGGUGGGGUGACUGCGUACCUUUUGUAUAAUGGGUCAGCGACUUAUAUUCUGUAGCAAGGUUAACCGUAUAGGGGAGCCGCAGGGAAACCGAGUCUUAACCGGGCGUUAAGUUGCAGGGUAUAGACCCGAAACCCGGUGAUCUAGCCAUGGGCAGGUUGAAGGUUGGGUAACACUAACUGGAGGACCGAACCGACUAAUGUUGAAAAAUUAGCGGAUGACCUGUGGCUGGGGGUGAAAGGCCAAUCAAACCGGGAGAUAGCUGGUUCUCCCCGAAAGCUAUUUAGGUAGCGCCUCGUGAACUCAUCUCCGGGGGUAGAGCACUGUUUCGGCUAGGGGGCCAUCCCGGCUUACCAACCCGAUGCAAACUGCGAAUACCGGAGAAUGUUAUCACG
rnacentral:rRNA from 1 species